GACGUAGGAGGCGAGCGUUGUCCGGAUUCAUUGGGCGUAAAGAGCACGCAGGCGGUCCCUUAAGUCUGAUGUGAAAGCCCACGGCUCAACCGUGGAGGGUCAUUGGAAACUGGGGGACUUGAGUACAGAAGAGGAAAGCGGAAUUCCACGUGUAGCGGUGAAAUGCGUAGAGAUGUGGAGGAACACCAGUGGCGAAGGCGGCUUUCUGGUCUGUAACUGACGCUGAGGCGCGAAAGCGUGGGGAGCAAACAGG
rnacentral:rRNA from 1 species